UACGAGGGGUGCAAGCGUUGCUCGGAAUCAUUGGGCGUAAAGGGUAGGUAGGUGGUCUCAUUUGUCUGGGGUGAAAGCCUUGAGCUUAACUCAAGAAGUGCCCCGGAAACGGUGAGACUAGAGUACUGGAAAGGGUCGUGGAAUUCCCGGUGUAGCGGUGAAAUGCGCAGAUAUCAGGAGGAACACCGGUGGCGAAGGCGGGUCUCUGGGCAGUAACUGACGCUGAGGAGCGAAAGCGUGGGGAGCGAACAGG
rnacentral:rRNA from 1 species